rnacentral:lncRNA from 1 species
UUUUUGCGACCGGCAGCAAGCAGAUCGGUUCGGCUCUUAUUCUUGUCCAUCCGAUCCGAUCCGAUACAGCUGCAAUUCUUUUAAUCAAUGCUUUUUCAAAACCAUUACCUUCAACAAUCGAACUGUAAGAAAAUCAAAUUUCAGAUAAACUUUCAAAAUAACCCUAAUUUGAAAGACUCAAAUACAGGAAAUCAAAUGAAAUUAAAUUAAAUGAACAAUUCAUAUACCUUUCGAGUUCUGUAAUUGAAUCGCUAAAAAAGAAGAAUCUGUACUGAAUUUCAAUUCUAUUCUAUUCUAUUCUGAAUACAUAAAUAUAUUUCUUCUGUUUUUCUUUCCCUUCACUGUUGGGC